GCCAGCUGAGGCACAUGCCUUGGGAGCUAAGUGGUUGCUGCCCUUGACUACUAUGAAGACUGGUGUGGGAAGGGUCGCUUUGGAUGCACUUGAGCAGGGGUCCCCAAUCCCUGAGCCAUGGAGCCGUAAGGAGCCACACAGCAGGUGGGACCAUCCAGUUUCAGGAAAACAAGCUUAACACGCCCACUGAUUCUACAUUAUGCUCCUACCUCCCGGCAGCCUCGCCAGGCCCAGAACUCUCUCCAGUCAGCCUCUACAGACCAAGCUCAUGACUCACAAUGGCCUAUUGAGGCCCAUACCCUACCUCACGGCAGUCUCCGCAGAUGAGCCUACUGCCUCACAACAGCCUCCACAGGCACAGCUCCAUCGUUACAAUGGCCUCUUUAGACCCAGCUCCUGCCGCCCAGCCUUCUCUCCAGGCCCUGAACUUUCUCCGUGGGACCAUCCAGUUUCAGGAAAACAAGCUGAACACGCCCACUGAUUCUACAUUAUGCUCCUACCUCCCGGCAGCCUCGCCAGGCCCAGAACUCUCUCCAGUCAGCCUCUACAGACCAAGCUCAUGACUCACAAUGGCCUAUUGAGGCCCAUACCCUACCUCACGGCAGUCUCCGCAGAUGAGCCUACUGCCUCACAACAGCCUCCACAGGCACAGCUCCAUCGUUACAAUGGCCUCUUUAGACCCAGCUCCUGCCGCCCAGCCUUCUCUCCAGGCCCUGAACUUUCUCCGUGGGACCAUCCAGUUUCAGGAAAACAAGCUUAACACGCCCACUGAUUCUACAUUAUGCUCCUACCUCCCGGCAGCCUCGCCAGGCCCAGAACUCUCUCCAGUCAGCCUCUACAGACCAAGCUCAUGACUCACAAUGGCCUAUUGAGGCCCAUACCCUACCUCACGGCAGUCUCCGCAGAUGAGCCUACUGCCUCACAACAGCCUCCACAGGCACAGCUCCAUCGUUACAAUGGCCUCUUUAGACCCAGCUCCUGCCGCCCAGCCUUCUCUCCAGGCCCUGAACUUUCUCCGUGGGACCAUCCAGUUUCAGGAAAACAAGCUGAACACGCCCACUGAUUCUACAUUAUGCUCCUACCUCCCGGCAGCCUCGCCAGGCCCAGAACUCUCUCCAGUCAGCCUCUACAGACCAAGCUCAUGACUCACAAUGGCCUAUUGAGGCCCAUACCCUACCUCACGGCAGUCUCCGCAGAUGAGCCUACUGCCUCACAACAGCCUCCACAGGCACAGCUCCAUCGUUACAAUGGCCUCUUUAGACCCAGCUCCUGCCGCCCAGCCUUCUCUCCAGGCCCUGAACUUUCUCCGUGGGACCAUCCAGUUUCAGGAAAACAAGCUGAACACGCCCACUGAUUCUACAUUAUGCUCCUACCUCCCGGCAGCCUCGCCAGGCCCAGAACUCUCUCCAGUCAGCCUCUACAGACCAAGCUCAUGACUCACAAUGGCCUAUUGAGGCCCAUACCCUACCUCACGGCAGUCUCCGCAGAUGAGCCUACUGCCUCACAACAGCCUCCACAGGCACAGCUCCAUCGUUACAAUGGCCUCUUUAGACCCAGCUCCUGCCGCCCAGCCUUCUCUCCAGGCCCUGAACUUUCUCCGUGGGACCAUCCAGUUUCAGGAAAACAAGCUGAACACGCCCACUGAUUCUACAUUAUGCUCCUACCUCCCGGCAGCCUCGCCAGGCCCAGAACUCUCUCCAGUCAGCCUCUACAGACCAAGCUCAUGACUCACAAUGGCCUAUUGUGGCCCAUACCCUACCUCACGGCAGUCUCCGCAGAUGAGCCUACUGCCUCACAACAGCCUCCACAGGCACAGCUCCAUCGUUACAAUGGCCUCUUUAGACCCAGCUCCUGCCGCCCAGCCUUCUCUCCAGGCCCUGAACUUUCUCCGUGGGACCAUCCAGUUUCAGGAAAACAAGCUGAACACGCCCACUGAUUCUACAUUAUGCUCCUACCUCCCGGCAGCCUCGCCAGGCCCAGAACUCUCUCCAGUCAGCCUCUACAGACCAAGCUCAUGACUCACAAUGGCCUAUUGUGGCCCAUACCCUACCUCACGGCAGUCUCCGCAGAUGAGCCUACUGCCUCACAACAGCCUCCACAGGCACAGCUCCAUCGUUACAAUGGCCUCUUUAGACCCAGCUCCUGCCGCCCAGCCUUCUCUCCAGGCCCUGAACUUUCUCCGUGGGACCAUCCAGUUUCAGGAAAACAAGCUGAACACGCCCACUGAUUCUACAUUAUGCUCCUACCUCCCGGCAGCCUCGCCAGGCCCAGAACUCUCUCCAGUCAGCCUCUACAGACCAAGCUCAUGACUCACAAUGGCCUAUUGUGGCCCAUACCCUACCUCACGGCAGUCUCCGCAGAUGAGCCUACUGCCUCACAACAGCCUCCACAGGCACAGCUCCAUCGUUACAAUGGCCUCUUUAGACCCAGCUCCUGCCGCCCAGCCUUCUCUCCAGGCCCUGAACUUUCUCCGUAAGUUGAGGUAGCUGG